GUCCAAUCCGUGUCUGGUACUGGCCAAGCUGUGUUGCCUUCACCUACGGCCACUGUUAUUGGCACUAGUUCAUUGUCGUCUGACACUUCUAUCUUCAGUAACCUGCCUGCUGAUUCUAAAGGUGAUCCUCGGCGGGAUCCCCGUCGCCUUGAUCCCCGGCGUGUUGUGGUAGCUCCUGGAGGAGCAACUGUAUCAGUUACAGAUGAUAAUGGAGCCACAAAAAUUGAG
rnacentral:sRNA from 1 species